AUGAUCAAAGAGACAGGCGGGGACGUUUGUAUGGCUGCGCUAGAGGUGAAAUUCAUGGACCGUAGCCAGACAAACUAAAGCGAAAGCAUUCGUCAAGCAUGUUUUCAUUGGCCAUGAGCGAAAGUCAGAGGCUCGAAGACGAUCAGAUACCGUCCUAGUUCUGACCAUAAACGAUGCCAACUGACGAUCCGUGGUGGUAGUUCAUCAACCUUCCCCACGGGCAGUCCCCGGGAAACCUUUAAGUCUUUGGGUUCCGGGGGAAGUAUGGUUGCAAAGCUGAAACUUAAAGGAAUUGACGGAAGGGCACCACCAGGAGUGGAGCCUGCGGCUUAAUUUGACUCAACACGGGAAAACUCACCCGGCCCGGACACUAUGAGGAUUGACAGAUUGAAAGCUCUUUCUUGAUUUGGUGGUUGGUGGUGCAUGGCCGUUCUUAGUUGGUGGAGCGAUUUGUCUGGUUAAUUCCGAUAACGAACGAGACUCCUGCCUGCUAAUUAGUGCACCUGUCAACUGCACUUGUGUAGGCGGUGUCUGGCGAAGCUGCCCUCGUAAGCUGCGAGGAUCUGCGGGUUUCCCGCGUCUGAGUAGUGAGUGCGGCUGGUCCGGCACUAGCUUCCGGGUGCGGAGCGGGUGUCUACUUCUUAGAGGGACAAGCGGGAGAAGCCGCACGAAAUGGAGCAAUAACAGGUCUGUGAUGCCCUUAGAUGUCCGGGGCCGCACGCGCGCUACAAUGACGGUGGCAAUGAGUCUGACCUUCUGGCCCGAAAGGGUUGGGCAAACUGGUCAAUCACCGUCAUGACAGGGAUCGGGGCUUGGAAUUGUUCCCCGUGAACGAGGAAUUCCUAGUAAGUGCAAGUCAUAAGCUUGCGCUGAUUACGUCCCUGCCCUUUGUACACACCGCCCGUCGCUACUACCGAUUGAAUGGUUUAGCAAGGUCCUUGGAUUGGCGCCAUUGUGGUGGUUUGCCGAAAGGUAAUCUGCCCGACAGGUGCUGAGAAGAC
rnacentral:rRNA from 1 species